rnacentral:rRNA from 1 species
ACGGGAGGCAGCAGUGAGGAAUAUUGGUCAAUGGGCGGAAGCCUGAACCAGCCAAGUCGCGUGAAGGAUGAAGGUAUUAUGUAUUGUAAACUUCUUUAGACGUAGAGAAAUAAGAGGCCCGUGAGCCUUGAUGCUAGUAUACGUAGAAUAAGGAUCGGCUAACUCCGUGCCAGCAGCCGCGGUAAUACGGAGGAUCCGAGCGUUAUCCGGAUUUAUUGGGUUUAAAGGGAGCGUAGGCGGAAGGUCAAGUCAGCUGUGAAAUGUAGUCGCUCAACGUCUGCACUGCAGUUGAAACUGGCCUCCUUGAGUGCGUAAGAGGCAGGUGGAAUUCGUCGUGUAGCGGUGAAAUGCUUAGAUAUGACGAAGAACUCCGAUUGCGAAGGCAGCUUGCUGGGCCGCAACUGACGCUGAAGCUCGAAGGUGCGGGUAUCAAACAGGAUUAGAUACCCUGGUA